UACGUAGGGUGCAAGCGUUAAUCGGAAUUACUGGGCGUAAAGCGUGCGCAGGCGGUGAUGUAAGACAGAUGUGAAAUCCCCGGGCUCAACUUGGGAACUGCAUUUGUGACUGCAUCGCUGGAGUGCGGCAGAGGGGGAUGGAAUUCCGCGUGUAGCAGUGAAAUGCGUAGAUAUGCGGAGGAACACCGAUGGCGAAGGCAAUCCCCUGGGCCUGCACUGACGCUCAUGCACGAAAGCGCGGGGAGCAAACAGG
rnacentral:rRNA from 1 species